rnacentral:rRNA from 1 species
UACGGAGGGUGCGAGCGUUGUCCGGAAUCAUUGGGCGUAAAGGGCGCGUAGGCGGCUUUUCAAGUCGGGGGUGAAAGCCUGUGGCUCAACCACAGAAUUGCCUUCGAUACUGUUAGGCUUGAGACCGGAAGAGGUGAGUGGAACUGCGAGUGUAGAGGUGAAAUUCGUAGAUAUUCGCAAGAACACCAGUGGCGAAGGCGGCUCACUGGUCCGGUUCUGACGCUGAGGCGCGAAAGCGUGGGGAGCAAACAGG